rnacentral:rRNA from 1 species
UACGAAGGGGGCUAGCGUUGUUCGGAAUCACUGGGCGUAAAGAGCGUGUAGGCGGCUUGGCAAGUCCGCUGUGAAAACUCGAGGCUCAACCUCGAGACGUCGGUGGAAACUGCCUCGCUAGAGUCCGGAAGAGGAGAGUGGAAUUCCUGGUGUAGCGGUGAAAUGCGCAGAUAUCAGGAAGAACACCCGUGGCUAAGGCGGCUCUCUAGUACGGUACUGACGCUGAGACGCGAAAGCGUGGGGAGCGAACAGG